AUUGAACGCUGGCGGCAUGCCUAACACAUGCAAGUCGAACGGCAGCACGGUGGCUUGUUGCUGUUCCCGAGUGGCGAACGGGUGAGUAAUACGUGUGCAUCGGUCCCGUCUUUUUGGGGAGGCCUGAGGAAGCCGGAGUUAUACCCCUACCGCAUACCGCCUACCAGUGGGGGCAUGGGAUGUUUGGAGCUUUCGGGUUUGGAUGAGCCGGUGUCGGAUUAGCUAGUUGGGGGGGUAAAGGCCGACGAAGGCGAGGAUCCGUAGAUGGUCGGAGAGGACGAUCAGCCACACUGGAACUGAGACACGGACCAGACUCCUACGGGAGGCAGCAGUGGGGAAUGUUGGACAAUGGGGGAAAGCCUGAUCCAGCAAUCCCGCGUGUGUGAAGAAGGCCUUCGGGUUGUAAAGCCCUUUUGUGGGGAAAGAAAAGCUUUGGCCUAAUACGAUGCGGGGCUGACGGUACCGGAAGAAUAAGCACCGGCUAACUACGUG
rnacentral:rRNA from 1 species